rnacentral:rRNA from 1 species
GGAAGCUGGCGAUACGAGUUAAGCAGAAAUGAGCUCUAUUUGUAAUCUGGCAGACAUAUGGCUGUCCGAGUUGUAAGUUAGAGAAGUGUCAUCCGUGCUGGCCUGCACAAAAGUCCCUUGGAAAAGGGCAUCAUAGAGGGUGACAAUCCCGUCUUUGGUGCAGACCACCAGUGCAUUUGUGAUGCGCUCUCAAUGAGUCGAGUUGUUUGGGAAUGCAGCUCCAAAUGGGUGGUAAAUUCCAUCUAAAGCUAAAUAUGGGCGAGAAACCGAUAGCGCACAAGUACCGUGAGGGAAAGAUGAAAAGGACUUUGAAAAGAGAGUUAAACAGUACGUGAAAUUGUUGAAAGGGAAACGCUUGAAGUCAGUCAUAUCCCUCGGAAAUCAACCCACCCAUUGGGUCAGGUGCAUUUUCUGUUGGAUGGGUCAGCAUCAAUUUUGAUCAUUGGAUAAAGGGCUUGGGAAUGUGGCAUCUCCGGAUGUGUUAUAGACCAUGUCUGCAUACAAUGGUUGGGAUUGAGGAACUCAGUGUGACCUUUUGGUUUGGGGGUUUAACCUCACACUACACACUUAGGAUGCUGGCAUAAUGGCUUUAAUCGACCCGUCUUGAAACACGGACCAAGGAGUCUAACAUGCAUGCAAGUGUUUGGGUGGAAAACCCAAGCGCGUAAUGAAAGUGAAAGUUGAGAACCCUGUUAUGGGGUGCAUCGACGCCCGGCCCUGACCUUCUGUGACGGACCUGCGGUAGAGCAUGUAUGUUGGACCCGAAAGAUGGUGAACUAUGCCUGAAUAGGGUGAAGCCAGAGGAAACUCUGGUGGAAGCUCGUAGCGAUUCUGACGUGCAAAUCGAUCGUCGAAUUUGGGUAUAGGGCGAAAGACUAAUCGAACCAUCUAGUAGCUGGNCCCGCCGAAGUUUCCCU